rnacentral:rRNA from 1 species
AUUGAACGCUGGCGGCAGGCCUAACACAUGCAAGUCGAGCGAGCGGCGGACGGGUGAGUAAUGUCUGGGAAACUGCCUGAUGGAGGGGGAUAACUACUGGAAACGGUAGCUAAUACCGCAUACCAUCAGAUGUGCCCCGAUGGGAUUAGCUAGGAGGUGGGGUAACGGCUCACCUAGGCGACGGUCCCUAGCUGGUCUGAGAGGAUGACCAGUCACACUGGAACUGAGACACGGCCCAGACGCCGACGGGAGGCAGCAGUGGGGAAUAGUGCACAAUGGGCGAAAGCCUGAUGCAGCCAUGCCGCGUGUGUGAAGAAGGCCUUAGGGUUGUAAAGCACUUUCAGCGGGGAGGCGUUACCCGCAGAAGAAGCACCGGCUAACUCCGUGCCAGCAGCCGCGGUAAUUC